rnacentral:rRNA from 1 species
AUUGAACGCUGGCGGCAUGCCUUACACAUGCAAGUCGAACGGCAGCACGGGAGCAAUCCUGGUGGCGAGUGGCGAACGGGUGAGUAAAGCAUCGGAACGUGCCCAGUCGUGGGGGAUAACGUAGCGAAAGCUACGCUAAUACCGCAUACGAUCUGUGGAUGAAAGCGGGGGACCGUAAGGCCUCGCGCGAUUGGAGCGGCCGAUGUCAGAUUAGGUAGUUGGUGGGGGAAAGGCGCACCAAGCCGACGAUCUGUAGCUGGUCUGAGAGGACGACCAGCCACACUGGGACUGAGACACGGCCCAGACUCCUACGGGAGGCAGCAGUGGGGAAUUUUGGACAAUGGGCGCAAGCCUGAUCCAGCAAUGCCGCGUGCAGGAUGAAGGCCUUCGGGUUGUAAACUGCUUUUGUACGGAGCGAAAAGGCUUCCACUAAUACUGGGGGCUCAUGACGGUACCGUAAGAAUAAGCACCGGCUAACUACGUGCCAGCCGCCGCCGUAAUAC